AUUGAACGCUGGCGGAAUGCUUUACACAUGCAAGUCGAGCGGCAGCGCGGGGCAACCUGGCGGCGAGCGGCGAACGGGUGAGUAAUGUAUCGGAACGUGUCCUGAGAUGGGGGAUAGCCCGGUGAAAACCGGAUUAAUACCGCAUACGAUCGAGAGAUGAAAGUGGGGGACCGCAAGGCCUCACGUCUUAGGAGCGGCCGAUAUCAGAUUAGCUAGUUGGUGAGGUAAAGGCUCACCAAGGCUCCGAUCUGUAGCUGGUCUGAGAGGAUGAUCAGCCACACUGGGACUGAGACACGGCCCAGACUCCUACGGGAGGCAGCAGUGGGGAAUUUUGGACAAUGGGGGCAACCCUGAUCCAGCCAUUCCGCGUGAGUGAAGAAGGCCUUCGGGUUGUAAAGCUCUUUUGUCCGGGAAGAAACGGUUUUGGUUAAUAACCAAGACUACUGACGGUACCGGAAGAAUAAGGACCGGCUAACUACGUGCCAGCCGCCGCCGCUGUAA
rnacentral:rRNA from 1 species